rnacentral:rRNA from 1 species
AUGGGCCGCAAGCUCGCGCUCCUGGUGGGCAUCAACUACCCCGGCACCAAGGCCGAGCUCAAGGGCUGCCACAACGACGUUGACCGCAUGCACAAGUGCCUCGUCGACCGGUUCGGCUUCGACGAGGACAACAUCACCGUCCUCCUCGACCGCGGCUCCUCGGGGCCGCAGCCCACCGGCGCCAACAUCCGCCACGCGCUGGCCAAGCUCGUGGGGGAAGCGCGCCGUGGGGACUUCCUCUUCUUCCACUACAGCGGCCACGGCACGCGGCUGCCGGCCGAGACCGGGCAGGACGACGACACCGGGUACGACGAGUGCAUCGUGCCCAGCGACAUGAAUCUCAUCACAGAUCAAGAUUUCAGAGAUCUCGUGCAGAAGGUCCCGGAUGGUUGCAUAUUUACCAUCGUCUCCGACUCAUGCCACAGUGGUGGCCUACUGGACAAGGCAAAGGAACAGAUAGGCAAUAGCACCAAGCAGAAUCAGACCCAGUCUCGUGAACCCGAAGAAGAGCGAUCUCAUUCUGGCGGCGGGUUCCGGUCCUUCCUCAAAGAGACCGUUCGUGACGCGUUUGAGUCUCAUAGCCGCCACGGAGGUGAGGACCAGGAUGAGCAACCAACUGGGGAUGGCCUCACUAAAAAUCGCUCUCUGCCACUCUCAACACUUAUUGAGAUGCUCAAGGAGCAAACUGGGAAGGAUGACAUUGAGGAGGGCUCAAUCCGGCUGACUCUGUUUAACGUCUUCGGGGACGAUGCCAGCCCAAAGAUCAAGAAGUUCAUGAAAGUCAUGCUUGAUAAGUUCCAUGAAGGUGGAUCAGGUGAGCAGGGCGGUGUCAUGGGCAUGGUUGGUUCGCUAGCUCACCAGUUCCUGAAGGCUAAGCUUGAAGGCACCGAGGAAGAGACUUUCAAGCCGGCGAUAGAACAAGAUAUGGGCAGUGCUGAGGAGGCGUAUGCCGGGACCAAGUCAUGGGCGCCUAACAACGGCAUCCUCAUCAGUGGGUGCCAAACCAGCCAGACAUCAGCAGAUGCAACCAUACCGGGGGGUACGUCCUUUGGCGCGAUGAGCAAUGCCAUCCAGGCCAUUCUCGCGAGCGAUGAUGGAAAGAUAACAAACAAGGAUCUCGUCAUGAAAGCGCGUGCAGCGCUGUCCAAGCAAGGAUACACUCAGCAGCCUGGGCUCUACUGCAGUGAUGAGCAUGUUCAUGUGGCUUUCAUCUGCUGA